UGCCGUAAGCGUAUAAUGAUCAUUUAAUUUGAAAUCUUAAUUAUUCAGUAUCAAUACUAUUUAUUUUGGAUUUUGAUUCAGAAUACAUUAAAAAGAAAAACCUUCCUUAAAAUACACGCAGGAAGAAAGAAAAAUGAGCUCCUCGAGUGCUAGUACUCGACGAUCAAGUAUUGAAAGAAGUCACUAUGGUCGAGCAAUACGUAAAAUAGAGCCGUACCUAGUGAGGCCUUGCAAAAGAAAGCAUCCAGAAAAGUUGGAAAGGAAAAAUCUCAAAGUUGCCAAAGUGGAGAAGCAAAACAAAAAAACUAUUGCAAGUACUCGACGAACAAGAGCAAGUAGUAAAAGAAGUCGUUAUGGUCGAGCAAUACGUAAAAUAGAGCCUUACCAAGUGAUGCCUUGUAAAAGGAAACAUCUCAAAAUUGCAAAAGUGGAGAAGCAAAG